UAAGGCCGAGAGCUGAUGACGAGUCGUCUUUUAGACGACGAAGUGGUUGAUGCCAUGCUUCCAAGAAAAGCUUCUAAGCUUCAGGUAACCAGGAACCGUACCCCAAACCGACACAGGUGGUUGGGUAGAGAAUACCAAGGCGCUUGAGAGAACUCGGGUGAAGGAACUAGGCAAAAUGGCACCGUAACUUCGGGAGAAGGUGCGCCGGUGAGGGUGAAGGACUUGCUCCGUAAGCUCAUGCCGGUCGAAGAUACCAGGCCGCUGCGACUGUUUAUUAAAAACACAGCACUCUGCAAACACGAAAGUGGACGUAUAGGGUGUGACGCCUGCCCGGUGCCGGAAGGUUAAUUGAUGGGGUUAGCUAACGCGAAGCUCUUGAUCGAAGCCCCGGUAAACGGCGGCCGUAACUAUAACGGUCCUAAGGUAGCGAAAUUCCUUGUCGGGUAAGUUCCGACCUGCACGAAUGGCGUAACGAUGGCGGCGCUGUCUCCACCCGAGACUCAGUGAAAUUGAAAUCGCUGUGAAGAUGCAGUGUAUCCGCGGCUAGACGGAAAGACCCCGUGAACCUUUACUAUAGCUUUGCACUGGACUUUGAAUUUGCUUGUGUAGGAUAGGUGGGAGGCUUUGAAGCGUGGACGCCAGUCUGCGUGGAGCCAACCUUGAAAUACCACCCUGGCAACUUUGAGGUUCUAACUCAGGUCCGUUAUCCGGAUCGAGGACAGUGUAUGGUGGGUAGUUUGACUGGGGCGGUCUCCUCCUAAAGAGUAACGGAGGAGUACGAAGGUGCGCUCAGACCGGUCGGAAAUCGGUCGUAGAGUAUAAAGGCAAAAGCGCGCUUGACUGCGAGACAGACACGUCGAGCAGGUACGAAAGUAGGUCUUAGUGAUCCGGUGGUUCUGUAUGGAAGGGCCAUCGCUCAACGGAUAAAAGGUACUCCGGGGAUAACAGGCUGAUACCGCCCAAGAGUUCAUAUCGACGGCGGUGUUUGGCACCUCGAUGUCGGCUCAUCACAUCCUGGGGCUGAAGCCGGUCCCAAGGGUAUGGCUGUUCGCCAUUUAAAGUGGUACGCGAGCUGGGUUUAGAACGUCGUGAGACAGUUCGGUCCCUAUCUGCCGUGGACGUUUGAGAUUUGAGAGGGGCUGCUCCUAGUACGAGAGGACCGGAGUGGACGAACCUCUGGUGUUCCGGUUGUCACGCCAGUGGCAUUGCCGGGUAGCUAUGUUCGGAAUAGAUAACCGCUGAAAGCAUCUAAGCGGGAAACUAGCCUCAAGAUGAGAUCUCACUGGAACCUUGAGUUCCCUGAAGGGCCGUCGAAGACUACGACGUUGAUAGGUUGGGUGUGUAAGCGCUGUGAGGCGUUGAGCUAACCAAUACUAAUUGCCCGUGAGGCUUGACCAU
rnacentral:rRNA from 1 species